rnacentral:rRNA from 1 species
AGCAGUCGCCGCGGGAAUACGUAGGGUGCAAGCGUUAAUCGGAAUUACUGGGCGUAAAGCGUGCGCAGGCGGCUUUUUAAGUCGGAUGUGAAAUCCCUGAGCUUAACUUAGGAAUUGCAUUCGAUACUGGGAAGCUAGAGUAUGGGAGAGGAUGGUAGAAUUCCAGGUGUAGCGGUGAAAUGCGUAGAGAUCUGGAGGAAUACCGAUGGCGAAGGCAGCCAUCUGGCCUAAUACUGACGCUGAGGUACGAAAGCAUGGGGAGCAAACAGGAUUAGAUACCCGGGUAGUCCCUGUCUCUUAUAC